rnacentral:rRNA from 1 species
GAUGAACGCUAGCGGCAGGCUUAAUACAUGCAAGUCGAGGGGCAGCGGGUGUAGCAAUACAUGCCGGCGACCGGCGCACGGGUGCGUAACGCGUAUGCAACCUACCUUUAACCGGAGGAUAGCCCCGAGAAAUCGGGAUUAAUACUCCAUAAUAUUAUGAAGAGGCAUCUCCUUAUAAUUAAAGCUCAGGCGGUUUUAGAUGGGCAUGCGUGACAUUAGCUAGUUGGUGAGGUGACGGCUCACCAAGGCUACGAUGUCUAGGGGUUCUGAGAGGAUUAUCCCCCACACUGGUACUGAGACACGGACCAGACUCCUACGGGAGGCAGCAGUAAGGAAUAUUGGGCAAUGGACGCAAGUCUGACCCAGCCAUGCCGCGUGAAGGAUGACGGCCCUACGGGUUGUAAACUUCUUUUGUACGGGAAAAAACCCCUGGUCGUGUAUCAGGGCUGAUGGUACCGUAAGAAUAAGCAUCGGCUAACUCCGUGCCAGCCGCCGCCGUAACAC